GUGAGGUUUAAUUUUGUUUGUGGUACAAAAUGUAGGAAUUCCUGUCUCACA
rnacentral:tRNA from 1 species